UACAGGGGGGGCAAGCGUUGUUCGGAAUUACUGGGCGUAAAGGGCUCGUAGGCGGCCAACUAAGUCACACGUGAAAUCCCCAGGCUUAACCUGGGAACUGCGUUUGAUACUGGAUGGCUUGAAUUCGGGAGAGGGAUGCAGAAUUCCAGGUGUAGCGGUGAAAUGCGUAGAUAUCUGGAGGAAUACCGGUGGCGAAGGCGGCAUCCUGGACCGACAUUGACGCUGAUGAGCGAAAGCUAGGGGAGCAAACGGG
rnacentral:rRNA from 1 species